ACUCCUACGGGAGGCAGCAGUGGGGAAUUUUGGACAAUGGGGGAAACCCUGAUCCAGCCAUACCGCGUGAGUGAAGAAGGCCUUCGGGUUGUAAAGCUCUUUCAGCUGGAAAGAAACGGUCACGGCUAAUACCUGUGGCUAAUGACGGUACCAGCAGAAGAAGCACCGGCUAACUACGUGCCAGCAGCCGCGGUAAU
rnacentral:rRNA from 1 species